AUACAUACAUAUAUAUAUAUAUAUUGUGGAGAAAUAACCAUUCCAAUGUCAAGAAGGCCAUGCACCCACCCCUAGUAGUCAACUGCCACAGUUCUAAGAAGGCUAACCUGUCACAGGCAUUCAGCAGUGACAGUGUGGUAGCACAGCAAGACAGCUCUCAGAGGAGUGAGCCAGGUGCUGGUUCAGCUCAGAAGUGGGGGCUGGAAACAAUCCCAGGCUGUCAGCCCACGGCUGAAAGGAACGUUCUCUUUCUUUAGCCUGGCCUCCCAGCUUUUCAAAAUAACUGAUUUUACUACCACAGCAAUCUGACCCAUGCUGAAAAUGAACACUUAUCCUGGAUUUUUUUUUCAAUUCAAAGAAUAAUUACAGCAGAAUCUGAAGUAUCAGGAAACUUACUGUAAGGGAAACAGUGGGAAGCUCUGAUUAACCACCUGAGGCAAGCAAUGAGCCAGCUGCGGGAGCACAGGUGAAGGUAAUUCAGCUGUGCUCCUGGAAGGGGUGGAGCUUGACUCCUCCUCUCCUAGAUCCCAUUUAAGGGCUGACCACCACUAAGGUAGCAUUGUUUUCUGGAGAUUGCUCCUGUGUGGAGUUCUUGUGGUGAGCCUUGACAUCAGUGAGCACCUAUCUUGAAGGCCUUGGAGUGGCAUAGGAAGGCCUCUCCCUUUGCACUCCUUGGAAGUUCCUUUAUCAUUAAAGACAAAUAAACAAUAAGAACAACAAAAUGGAGGACCUCUGGCUUCUCAUGAAACACUCUCAUCUGUAGUGGAGAGUGGCUCAGUGCACAGCACCCAUCUGGCACACCCAGGCAAAGGCAAAAGAAGGUAUUUCCUGUCUUAUGUGCUGGCAGGCACCACUCCAAUAUGAAUGAAGGGGUCCUCCCUCAGCCCCUAAAUCGCAGCCUGCUCCUCAGGCCCCAGGGAGAACUGCAGCCCUCUUCCUUCUGGCAGACAGCUGGGGGUUGAACCUUCUCCAUAGGAUGCUCCAGAAGGCUGUGAGCGAUGAGGUCUGCCACGGCAACCAGCACAUCAUGUUUCAGCUGGGUCCUCAUUGCCUGUCG